UCCAGACUCCUACGGGAGGCAGCAGUGGGGAAUAUUGCACAAUGGGGGAAACCCUGAUGCAGCGACGCCGCGUGAGUGAAGAAGUAUUUCGGUAUGUAAAGCUCUAUCAGCAGGGAAGAAAAAAGACGGUACCUGACUAAGAAGCCCCGGCUAACUACGUGCCAGCAGCCGCGGUAAUACGUAGGGGGCAAGCGUUAUCCGGAUUUACUGGGUGUAAAGGGAGCGUAGACGGUUAUGUAAGUCUGGAGUGAAAGCCCGGGGCCCAACCCCGGGACUGCUUUGGAAACUGUGCAGCUAGAGUGCAGGAGAGGUAAGUGGAAUUCCUAGUGUAGCGGUGAAAUGCGUAGAUAUUAGGAGGAACACCAGUGGCGAAGGCGGCUUACUGGGCUGUAACUGGCGUUGAGGCUCGAAAGCGUGGGGAGCAAACAGGAUUAGAUACCCCGGUGA
rnacentral:rRNA from 1 species